AUUGAACGCUGGCGGCAGGCCUAACACAUGCAAGUCGGGCGAGCCGCGGGCGGGUGAGUAAUGUAUGUGGAUCUGCCUGAUGGAUGGGUAUAACUACUGGAAACGGUAGCUACUACCGCAUACCAUCAGAUGAACCCUUAUGGGAUUAGCUUGUAGUUGGGGUAACGGCUCACCUAGGCGACGAUCCCUAGCUGGUUUGAGAGGAUGAUCAGCCACACUGGGACUGAGACACGGCCCAGACUCCUACGGGAGGCAGCAGUGGGGAAUAUUGCACAAUGGGCGCAAGCCUGAUGCAGCCAUGCCGCGUGUGUGAAGAAGGCCUUCGGGUUGUAAAGUACUUUCAGUCGGGAAGCGUUACCGACAGAAGAAGCACCGGCUAACUCCGUGCCAGCAGCCGCGGUAAUUC
rnacentral:rRNA from 1 species